CUCUUAGUAUUAUUAUUAAACUAGUUUUGACAUCUUAGGGCCCUUGAAAAAGUCACAGGGAACAGUCAGGAUCCUAAACGAGAUUCUUUAGCCAAACUCAUCUUUGUGGUGCCCCUUACACAUGGUGCUCCAUAUCAGGGUUUUGCACAGGCAGUCCUCCAUGCUUGGAAUGAAUUCUGUACUCACUUUCACCUCAGAGAAUUCAUUAUUUUCUCCAAGUCCCAGAUCAAGUAUAACCUCUACAUGUAGUCUUUUCUGAUUCCCCCAACUGCUAGUACCCUCCCUCCUAAAAAUGAUCAUACAUUUGUUUUAUAUUCAUAUGAUAUCGAUUGGCCAUGUACACUAUAAUGUUACCCAUUUCUCACACAGAACUUGCAUGCAAAGACUUUAUUGACUUGCUCACUCAUUCCAACCUGCUCUCAUAUUGGUUGAUCCAGAGUCCCAGAGAAGGAGAACAAGCAGGAUUGUGCUCAAACAUUCUUAGGGCUGCCAUGAGAUAAGGAAACUGAAGAUGAGAAAUGUAAAGGGGUUUGCUCAGCUACUGUCUGGAGUAGGAUUCAAAUUCAAAUCCUCCUGUCCAAGUUUAUCAUUCUGGCCAUCACAUCACUUAUAAAAACCAGAGAAAAGAGGAUUACCAGAGUUAGACCAUGUGAAAAUUUUUGGUCCUCUACAGUAUAAGGCCCCAAGAAGUGCAAAACAAUCAUGAUUCAAGUUGGAUUAAAAGAUAGUUAUUCAUACAAUUAUAAUUCAGUGUUGAAGGUUUGCAGCAAUUAUAAAUAUUUCAUUUUAUCCUCACACCAAUCCUCAAAUGUAGCACUGUUAUUAUCCUUAUUUUACAGAUGAGAAACCUGAGGCAGACAACAGUUAAAUGACUUAGCAAGAGUUGCUCUGCUAAUAAGUAAUUGAGACUGGAUUUAAAUUUAGCUCUUCCUAAUUCCAAGGCUAGUGCUCUAUCCAUUGGGCCAAUGAAUUGCAAAAGUUUUAUGAAAGGGGGUGGGUGGUGGUGAUGGUGAUGAGGAAAGUUAGCAUUUAUGUAACACCAACUAUUUGCAAGCAUAUAUGUGUCACUGGAUGAACAUAAGUGAAAGUGGUCUCCCUCUAGAAGGAGCCUAUGAAGUGGCUAAGAUUGAAUCAGAAGUCCCCUUAUGUGCAAUACCAUCAGCAUGGAAAGAACUGGCUUGGCAGUGGAUAGGGCAUGACACUUGAAAUCAGGAAGACCCGAGUUUGAAUUCUGCUUAAGCCACUGAAUGUCUAGGUGAAGCUCUCCUUCCCACCUUCCCCUGUCCAACAAUUAUCUUCUUGGGAGCAUAACGGGAGGCUUCUACCUCCAUACUACUAGUUCUCGAAUUUGCUAAGUCUAACUGGUUCGCUGAUUUUAUACAGGUCCCAAAAGGUUUAACCAAAACUCUCAACUGACCUGAACAGACCAACUCUGAAAUAUGAUUCUAGUCCAUCCAGUCAAAGACAUCUAUAUUCUCAGUCUUUUCCUAUUAAGUCUAA
rnacentral:lncRNA from 1 species